AGGCUGCUUGUUGUUCGGGUUUCACAAGUUUGCCCUCUGGUUUUACUGUUAAAGAGAGGCCAUUGUAACUGAGAGCUAGCUUCGAAUACAGCUGCUGCUACAUCUUUCCAGGCUUAUGAGAUAAUCCUGUUUUAGGUAGCCAGGUAUUUAACAUCUGUCUUUCAAAGGGAUGUAACUCUCAUUUACUUCUCCAGAACCAAGUCUACAUGAGGCCAUGUGCCUGCUGCCACGCUUCACACCUGGAUGAUAAUGGACUCACCUCUGGAUCUGUAAACAAGCCCCCAAAUUAUAUGCUUUCUUUUAUAAGAAUUGCUUUGGCUAUGGUGUUCUUCACAGCAAUAAAAUAGCGAUGAAGACAGUAGUUGAUACCAGGAAACCGAGUAUUGCUGUGACAGGCAUGACCAUGCUGUAUUUUGGUAGAAUGUGAACUUUGGACUAGAAAAGUGACUGAGUGAUUUAAGUCGGGAUUUUAUGGGCUAUACUAGUAGCAAGGACACUUGUAUUGGAAAAAUGUAGACAAGUGGGAGACCAGCACAGGAAGUUGCAGAGGGAGAAAUCAUACAAAGUGAAUACAAAGCAACCUAGUGACCAUUCUUGAUGUAUUUCAGCAAAGAGGUGGCUGCUUUUGCCCAUGUCCUGAAAAUCUGCCCGAGUUUUUGAUUAAUGAUCGCAGAGGAGAUGUCAAGACAGCUUAGAAUUGAUCAUAUCACAUGGUUAUUAGUAAUCACUCUUAUUUAGGUCAGUAAUGGAAAAGAUAAAGCUAGACAAAAAGAAAUACCAAAUGUACAGAUUGAGGGGAAAAGAAAGCACUAGAGAGUGUAAUGGAGCUAAGUCCAGUGCUUCUAGAAGAUUAAAUUUUAAAGAAAAAUUUGACACUAAGUGGAAUCAAAAGAGCAGUAACCUCAGGUAAGAUCCCACUCAGUUAAGGUUCCAACUUGUAAAAGGGAAUUAAAGAAGUUUAAGCAGUGAAGGAAACUAUCAAGAAGGGAAAGCUGAUGCAAAUGUAAAUGAAUCAGAGGGCCAAGUUCAGGCCAGCAAGCAGCUGAAUUUGGCAGCUUUAGCCAAGUGGUUCUGGCCUUAGAGUCAAGGAAAUCAAGAGAGCAAGUCCUUACAAUAUACAAAGGAAUGGCUCUUCCCCCACUGGCUAAGAAAAGGUGCUGAGUCCAGGCAAGUGCUGUGGGUGUUGAGGACCCCCUGCAGGUGUCCAUGCAGUGAUCCAUGAAGAAAUGAGAAUGAAACCUUGGUUCAGAUAGACUUCGUCAACCUAGAUCAAACUUCGGGGAGUUUAAUGCUAGGCCAUUCAUUGUCAGCAUAUUAAAACAUAGUACAAUUUGGGAAAAUUACUAAAUAUUUUCCCUUUAAGUAAAUUAUUUUAUUCUUUUUUGGAAGAUUUACUUAGUUUUAUUUUAUUUGGAAAGAUGAAUAAAUAGUAGAAAAUGUAUCUAAUCCAUUUUGUAAGGAAUAUUGAAAUUAUUCAAAAUAAAAUAUCUGGUUGUGUGAUUUGU
ensembl:lincRNA